rnacentral:tRNA from 1 species
GGAAAGGUGCUAGAGUGGUUGAAUAGGACGGUCUCGAAAACCGUUGUAGGGGCAACCUUACCGAGGGUUCGAAUCCCUCCCUUUCCG